rnacentral:rRNA from 1 species
UGCAGAUCUGGUUGAUCCUGCCAGAGGUCACUGCUAUCGGGGUUCGAUUAAGCCAUGCGAGUCGAGAGGGUUCGGCCCUCGGCGUACUGCUCAGUAACACGUGGAUAACCUGCCCUAAGGAAGGGGAUAACCCCGGGAAACUGGGGAUAAUACCCUAUAGGUUACAGAUGCUGGAAUGCUCUGUAACUCAAAGUUCCGGCGCCUUAGGAUGGAUCUGCGGCCGAUUAGGUUGUUGUUGGGGUAAUGGCCCAACAAGCCCGUAAUCGGUACGGGUCGUGGGAGCAAGAGCCCGGAGUUGGAUUCUGAGACACGAAUCCAGGCCCUACGGGGCGCAGCAGGCGCGAAAACUUUACAAUGCGGGCAACCGCGAUAAGGGAACCUCGAGUGCCUGUAUAUGCAGGCUGUCCAGGUGUCUAAAUAACACCUGAAGAAAGGGCCGGGCAAGACCGGUGCCAGCCGCCGCGGUAAUACCGGCGGCUCGAGUGGUGGCCGCUUUUAUUGGGCUUAAAGCGUUCGUAGCUGGGUUAUUAAGUCUCUUGGGAAAUCCGGCGGCUCAACCGUCGGGCGUCUAAGGGAUACUGGUAAUCUUGGAACCGGGAGAGGUGAGGGGUACUUCGGGGGUAGGAGUGAAAUCCUGUAAUCCUCGAGGGACCACCUGUGGCGAAGGCGCCUCACCAGAACGGCUUCGACAGUGAGGGACGAAAGCUGGGGGAGCAAACCGGAUUAGAUACCCGGGUAGUCCCAGCCGUAAACUAUGUGCGU